rnacentral:tRNA from 1 species
GCCGGUGUGGUGGAAUGGCAGACACGAUGGACUCAAAAUCCAUUGGUAGCAAUAUCGUAUCGGUUCAAGUCCGAUCACCGGCACCA